UCCAGACUCCUACGGGAGGCAGCAGUGAGGAAUAUUGGUCAAUGGCCGAGAGGCUGAACCAGCCAAGUCGCGUGAGGGAUGGCGGCCCUACGGGUUGUAAACCUCUUUUGCCGGGGAGCAAAGAGCGGGACGCGUCCCGCCUCGAGAGUACCCGGAGAAAAAGCAUCGGCUAACUCCGUGCCAGCAGCCGCGGUAAUACGGAGGAUGCGAGCGUUAUCCGGAUUUAUUGGGUUUAAAGGGUGCGCAGGCGGGGGUGCAAGUCAGGGGUCAAAUGGCGGGGCUCAACCUCGUCGAGCCGUUGAAACUGGGUGCCUUGAGUGGGCGAGAAGUACGCGGAAUGCGUGGUGUAGCGGUGAAAUGCAUAGAUAUCACGCAGAACUCCGAUUGCGAAGGCAGCGUACCGGCGCCCAACUGACGCUGAAGCACGAAGGCGUGGGUAUCGAACAGGAUUAGAUACCCCAGUAUA
rnacentral:rRNA from 1 species